ACCGAUCUCAUUGGCUGGACUAUUGCCAGGGCAGGAAUAAAGACUUUCUUCCUUCUGCUGGGAUAGUAGAGUAAUAUUCAUAUGCAAAGUCUGUGUCUUCCUGCUGGGGUUGCUACUGGCAAUGAGUGGUAGAGCACGAGAGAGAAUUUCCCCUGCUAACUUCCCAACUCCAUUCUAAAUGAGAUUUCCAUGAUUAAUUUUCACAUUCCCCCUUUUGAUCAAGAUCUUCGAAAGCAUUGUGGAUUGACAGUUUGAGAAGGAGGGCAAGGAAGCAACUCAUCUGUGUAUUGUAACUAGAAGAAUCUGCAGACAAUCAUCUAUCAUCCAAAUCAGCCUUUAAGGUAUUUUGCAGAGGCAAACUUAGGAUCCUCAAAACAUCUGGAAGCCUCAAGGUGCCAGGGAAGAGGGCAGCCUUUCUUCCCCCUGCUGGGAUGGAAUCUCCCUGCUAAUUCCCGAGACAGAGCGAAAGUCAUAUUGCAGACCCUAGCCUGCUUCUCAUGUGAGGAUCAAAUGAGAUCACCGUCAAGCUUCAGAUAAGAAUGAGGCCAGGGUUCUGCAAGCCCAGCAGAUGACUUCUUCCAGCAGUUUAAAGGUAGAAAAUCAGAGUGAUGGAGAGUACCAGUGCUGAAGCCAGGCUGCCAAGGUUUGGAACAGAUUUACCCCCUUCAAUCUGAGGCAGCUAAUAUAGCCCUCUAGGCCUCAGUUCUUUGCUGAUUCAUGUUAAAUGCUUAAGACAGAGCUUGAUGUACUCUCUGUGUUUGAAGAAUGCCAUUGCUUUUAGGAUUACAAGUACCAUCACACCAGCCUAUUCUCAGUUCCUGCAUGUGCUGUCAACUCUUAAGACUCUAAACACUCUAAAGCUGCUAACAGUUUCCAUUUCUCCUUCUAAUUUUAUUGAAGAUGGGUCAUGUGUAGGAUAUUGUGUUAAAC